AAUAGAUACCCGGGUAGUCCACGCCGUAAACGAUGAGUGCUAGGUGUUAGGGGGUUUCCGCCCCUUAGUGCUGCAGCUAACGCAUUAAGCACUCCGCCUGGGGAGUACGGUCGCAAGACUGAAACUCAAAGGAAUUGACGGGGGCCCGCACAAGCGGUGGAGCAUGUGGUUUAAUUCGAAGCAACGCGAAGAACCUUACCAGGUCUUGACAUCCCGCUGACCGCCAUGGAGACAUGGCUUUCCCUUCGGGGACAGCGGUGACAGGUGGUGCAUGGUUGUCGUCAGCUCGUGUCGUGAGAUGUUGGGUUAAGUCCCGCAACGAGCGCAACCCUUGUCCUUAGUUGCCAUCAUUCAGUUGGGCACUCUAAGGAGACUGCCGUACAAAUACGGAGGAAGGUGGGGAUGACGUCAAAUCAUCAUGCCCCUUAUGACCUGGGCUACACACGUGCUACAAUGGGUGGUACAAAGGGUCAGCAAACCCGCGAGGGGGAGCGAAUCCCCAAAAAGGCCACUCUCAGUUCGGAUUGCAGGCUGC
rnacentral:rRNA from 1 species